GGUUAAAUCCUUUAACCCCACAUGCUAGAUACCAGAUCUAAACCUACCAAGCCCAGAAAAAGCACAUAUUAUCAAUCUAAAAUUUAAAAAAAAUUAUGAGAUCAGAUCUCAUUACCUUUGCGCAGAUAGAAAUUCAUCGCUAUUGAUAAUCUCAGAUUCGUAGAAGGUUGAGCCGCAUACAUGUCCGGCCUCUACGGAUAUCCAC
rnacentral:lncRNA from 1 species